rnacentral:rRNA from 1 species
UGCCCUGCGCUUUGAGAUAAGCCUGGGAAACUGGGUCUUAUACCGGAUAGGACUACGCACUGCAUGGUGUGUGCUGGAAAGCUUUUGCGGUGUGGGAUGGGCCCUCGGCCUAUCAGCUUGUUGGUGGGGUGAUGGCCUACCAAGGCUACGACAGGUAGCCGGCCUGAGAGGGUGACCGGCCACACUGGGACUGAAAUACGGCCCAGACUCCUACGGGAGGCAGCAGUGGGGAAUAUUGCACAAUGGGCGCAAGCCUGAAGCAGCGACGCCGCGUGAGGGAUGACGGCCUUCGGGUUGUAAACCUCUUUCGCCAGGGACGAAGCGCAAGUGACGGUACCUGGAGAAGAAGGACCGGCCAACUACGUGCCAGCAGCCGCGGUAAUACGUAGGGUCCGAGCGUUGUCCGGAAUUACUGGGCGUAAAGAGCUCGUAGGUGGUUUGUCGCGUUGUUCGUGAAAACUCACAGCUUAACUGUGGGCGUGCGGGCGAUACGGGCAGACUGGAGUACUGCAGGGGAGACUGGAAUUCCUGGUGUAGCGGUGGAAUGCGCAGAUAUCAAGAGGAACACCGGUGGCGAAGGCGGGUCUCUGGGCAGUAACUGACGCUGAGGAGCCAAAGCGUGGGGAGCGAACAGGAUUAGAUACCCUG